GGCCACCUUGACAGGGCGGACAAAGAUGAGAGAUGGCAAGGAGUCAUGAACAAUCCAACCGCGUAGCACCGUCAUUCCCAACCUCAGGUGGAAUUGAAGAAGCCCUAUCCAAUAUUCACACCACAACCUCAACCCUUUGAAUAUUCGUUGGGAUUCAUUGGGAGCUUUGUCACUGAAAAUUGAAAUGACAUCCAUAUCAAAGAGGAAGAUGAGUUAUAUUCCGCCGAAUGUUAUUGAGGUAAUACUCUCCAAUGAUUUUAAAUCCACACACCAGAUGUAUUGCAAUGGGCUGUUGUUACUUUACCGAUUUCUCGAUAAACUUAUUCGUUUGGACAUAUUAAAUCCAUGGCGAAGGAGUAUCUUAGACUUCCGAUUGACUACAACUAUGUGUGAGAGAUUGAAGCCGAGCUUAGAGAUUUUCUUCCAAGGGUUUUCUUGCAAAGGGGGUUAAUUGAAGUUUUUUUUUUAGCAAAAUGAAUGAUCGACCUUCAACCUCAAGGAAAUGAAAACUUUAUUUUGCAGUUAUGUGUGUGCUUUCUGAUUUCUUUUUAAUAUUAUGUAUAACAUGUUUUCAAACUAUCAUCUUUCACUGGUGAUGUUGUAAUCAAGUCCAAGUAUUUAUAUAGCUUCUAAACAAAAACAAAUCCAACCACAAAGUUGAAUAAUUAGUGAAUUUAAUACCUUGUAAAAGAUCUGUGGCUAGUUAUCAAUAUUAUUUGGCUGAGCUAUGAUUUUUUAUGACAGAGGUUGGCCAUUUAAUAAUUAAAAUCUAGUUUAAGUUCGUAUGAUUUGUUUAAAGAUAUAUAACAUAAGUGAAAAGAACUCAUAUCGGCAUUAAGCCCACAAGAGCCUAGAACAAUUGAUAUCUUUACUAAGGAGUUUUGACUUAAAUCAACACGCUCCAUUUGUACUAAAAAGGAAAAAAAAGAGAGAGAAAAAGUUGAUAGUGAUAUUAUUACUUAUGAGGAGAAAAGGGAAAAAGAA